UACGUAGGGUGCGAGCGUUGUCCGGAAUUAUUGGGCGUAAAGAGCUCGUAGGCGGCUUGUCGCGUCGGAUGUGAAAGCCCGGGGCUUAACUCCGGGUCUGCAUUCGAUACGGGCAGGCUAGAGUUCGGUAGGGGAGAUCGGAAUUCCUGGUGUAGCGGUGAAAUGCGCAGAUAUCAGGAGGAACACCGGUGGCGAAGGCGGCUUGCUGGGCCUUACCUGACGCUGAGGAGCGAAAGCGUGGGGAGCGAACAGG
rnacentral:rRNA from 1 species